rnacentral:lncRNA from 1 species
AUGAAGUUUAAUUUUGUGCACUUGGUAACAUCUUUCUUGUUUCUGUCGGUUAUAUUAUCAUUUGUGUUAUUUAUAUUUUGCGUUCCCACGUUAUUAUUAUUAUUAUUAUUAUUAUUAUUACUAUUAUUAUUAUUAUUAUUAUUACUAUUAUUAAAUAAAAAUAAGUUUUUUAUUUUUUUUAUCAUAAUCUCUCUUUCUAUGCUUGUUUCUCGUUUAUUUUUAUCAUCUUUGUUGUUGGUACCAUUUAACUCUGUUAAAAACGUUUGUUUCACGUUACCAUUGUUCACGUUACCAUUGUUCACGUUACCAUUGUUCACGUUACCAUUGUUCACGUUACCAUUGUUCACGUUACCAGUGUUCACGUUACCAGUGUUCACGUUACCAGUGUUCACGUUACCGUUGCUCAUGUUACCAUUCACACCUAUACGUGUUGUGUUAAACCCAUUCGGGGCUAACGUGCCAUCAAUAUUUAAAAUACCUCCAUUUAUAUUAGCGUCCCAUAAAUUAUUAUUAUUAUUAAUGUCGCCUUUAUUAUUCCAUAUGCAAUUAAUUCUCGAAAAAAAAGAAUCAUCAGCACCAAUGUUAUUACUUGAACAUGUAUUACUAUUACCGCUUUGAUAAUCAUAUAAUGUUAAAAAGUUGUAAUAAUUAUAAUUCAGUAAUUCAAUGUUAAUUCCAUAUUUAUUAAAAUUACUCACAACACAUCCUUUAAUCAUUUCAAUCUUUUUUAAUUCAUUUAUUUUUUCCUUAUAUUUUUUUAUUAAUUCUAUUUCUUGUUUUCUAGUUUCUCUAUCAUCAUACACAUUUUUUAACUGAUUUAAUUCAUUUGUUAAUGCUUCGAUUUUUUUUUUUUUUCUAUUAAGUACAUUACUUUGUUUUUCCAAUAUAAGUUCUUUUUCAUCAAUUUUUUUUUGGACUUUAUUAUUAUAACAUUUUAAUGUUUUAAUAGCUUUUUUAGUUUUACUAUAAUUUAAUUGACUAACUUCGUAUUUUAAUAUUGCAUCAUCUAAUUUCGAACUUAUAUCAUUUAAAUUAUUUAUUUUGUUAAUAAAAUUGAAUAUCAUAUUUCUUAUA